rnacentral:rRNA from 1 species
CCCUUAGAUGUUCUGGGCCGCACGCGCGCUGCACUGAUGCAUGCAACGAGUUCUAUCCUUGGCCGGAAGGCCUGGGUAAUCUGUGAACGUGCAUCGUGAUAGGGAUAGAUUAUUGCAAUUAUUAAUCUUGAACGAGGAAUUCCUAGUAAACGCAAGUCAUCAGCUUGCAUUGAUUACGUCCCUGCCCUUUGUACACACCGCCCGUCGCACCUACCGAUCGAAGGUAAUGAUGAGCCCUCAGGAUUGUGGCCUCGUCGCGUCAGCGUCUUGGCUGCGAGAAUCUGUGCAAAUCCCUACCUUUAGAGGAAGGUGAAGUCGUAACA